GACGAACGCUGGCGGCGUGCUUAACACAUGCAAGUCGAACGGUGAAGCGCCUUCCUUUUUGGUGGGUGUGGAUGAGUGGCGAACGGGUGAGUAACACGUGAGUAACCUGCCCCCUUCUUCUGGAUAACCGCAUGAAAGUGUGGCUAAUACGGGAUAUUCUGGGUCUGUCGCAUGAUGGGUCUGGGAAAGAUAUUGUUUCGGUGGGGGAUGGGCUCGCGGCCUAUCAGCUUGUUGGUGGGGUGAUGGCCUACCAAGGCGGUGACGGGUAGCCGGCCUGAGAGGGUGGACGGUCACACUGGGAAUGAGACACGGACAAGACUACUACGGGAGGCAGCAGUGGGGAAUAUUGCACAAUGGGCGCAAGCCUGAUGCAGCGACGCCGCGUGAGGGAUGGAGGCCUGCGGGUUGUGAACCUCUUUCGCCAGUGAAGCAGGCCUGCCUCGUUUGUGGGUGGGUUGACGGUAGCUGGAUAAGAAGCGCCGGCUAACUACGUG
rnacentral:rRNA from 1 species